rnacentral:rRNA from 1 species
AAUGAACGCUGGCGGCAUGCCUUACACAUGCCAGUCGAACGGCAGCAUGACCUAGCUUGCUAGGUUGAUGGCGAGUGGCGAACGGGUGAGUAAUGCAUCGGAACGUGCCUUUUAGUGGGGGAUAACGUAGCGAAAGUUACGCUAAUACCGCAUAUUCUCUGAGGAGGAAAGCAGGGGGCCUUCGGGCCUUGCGCUAGAAGAGCGGCCGAUGUCGGAUUAGCUAGUUGGUGAGGUAAAGGCUCACCAAGGCAACGAUCCGUAGCGGGUCUGAGAGGAUGAUCCGCCACACUGGGACUGAGACACGGCCCAGACUCCUACGGGAGGCAGCAGUGGGGAAUUUUGGACAAUGGGCGCAAGCCUGAUCCAGCCAUGCCGCGUGAGUGAAGAAGGCCUUCGGGUUGUAAAGCUCUUUCGGCUGGGAAGAAAUCGCACUCUCUAAUACAGGGUGUGGAUGACGGUACCAGCAUAAGAAGCACCGGCUAACUACGUG